GGUGAACGCUGGCGGCGUGCCUAAUACAUGCAAGUCGAGCGAAUGGAUUAAGAGCUUGCUCUUAUGAAGUUAGCGGCGGACGGGUGAGUAACACGUGGGUAACCUGCCCAUAAGACUGGGAUAACUCCGGGAAACCGGGGCUAAUACCGGAUAACAUUUUGAACCGCAUGGUUCGAAAUUGAAAGGCGGCUUCGGCUGUCACUUAUGGAUGGACCCGCGUCGCAUUAGCUAGUUGGUGAGGUAACGGCUCACCAAGGCAACGAUGCGUAGCCGACCUGAGAGGGUGAUCGGCCACACUGGGACUGAGACACGGCCCAGACUCCUACGGGAGGCAGCAGUAGGGAAUCUUCCGCAAUGGACGAAAGUCUGACGGAGCAACGCCGCGUGAGUGAUGAAGGCUUUCGGGUCGUAAAACUCUGUUGUUAGGGAAGAACAAGUGCUAGUUGAGUAAGCUGGCACCUUGACGGUACCUAACCAGAAAGCCACGGCUAACUACGUGCCAGCAGCCGCGGUAA
rnacentral:rRNA from 1 species